AAAACCCCAGGGCUGGCAGAAGUAAGUUGGCACGUCCAAUCCCAGCCAGACCGCCUUUGUUCGCCGGUGCCAGCCGCUGCAGCAUCCAGGGGAGCACAGAACCCCGGCCAGGCAGAAGCAAUAAAUCACCCAGGUUAAGAAGACCCAGCUAGCCCAACAUAGAUCGAUUUCAUGGAUGCUUUCUUGCACUUACCAGUGAAAGAGCUGAGAACUGACCAUCUUCUGAGACCGCCUUUUGGCUUCAGGGAAGAGAGUGAUACAAGAGCAGUGGUACAUGAAAGAGAAACUCAAAGCUCAACCAAAGGAG